AUUUUAUUAUAAUACUAACAAUAAUUUAUGGAUUAGAACAAGUGCAAAUAUGAUGUUUUUUGAACGAAUGGGAAUGCACCUAGAAGAUGUUUUGUGUAUGUAGAAUGGAGUCAAAAUAAUUGUUAAUUAGGAGAAGUGAGAGGAUUGAUGUUUACAAAGCAAUAAGAACUGGAGUUAGCUCUAGCUAACAUAGUUGAAUGAGAGAGGGGAUUCAUGUAUCUGACUCCAAAAAUGCUUUAUUGGUGUUGUCAUCAUGGAAUUUGCUGCAAAGGGUGCAGGGAGAUGGCCAGAACUGGGAUGCAUUUGAAGGGUCUUGUCUUCCACUGCAUUGAAAUCUACAUACCUAGUGAGACUGUGGAAAAAAGAAGCAACGUAAAGAGCUAAUAGCUGUGAAGCGCCGACAACGUAUGAUUAAUCGUGGUGUUGACUUGGAACAAAUAAAUCUGGUAAGCUUAACCUCUGCUGAUCGAGUUCGCCCUUCACCGCUCCCCGUCCCGCCGCCCUCGAGUUCUGCCUUCACCGCUCCCCGCCCCGCCGCCCUCCACUUCGCCCUUCACUGUUCAGUAUCUUUUUUCCAAUUUUUUUUAAUAUUUUGAUUUAAUAUUUCAUUUGCUUUAAAAUCUUCUUUACAAUCCUAUUAAGAACUUCCUAUUCAGUGCUGGAUAUUGAUGUAUUGUUGAAGUUUAUGAAAUCAAUACAAGCAUGAAGCUCUCUGAUGAUCUAAUAGGACUUGCUUACACUUGAUAAAUUCGUUUAUUGAUGAUGAAGGGAUCAUGCCAAUAGCUGAGAAUUGCUUACAUUUGUCUGCACUGAGCCUAGAGCACUGUCCUCGAAUUGCUGAUGCUUUGCUAGCUGGAGUUGAGCCUCAACUAUCUCUGUAAUUUUUGUAAAUAUUUUUUUUCUUGAUUGUUGCUGAGUAUGCGAAUAUGUGGAUGAUAUUCCUUUUCUAUUGUAAGUAUAGUUUAUACUUGUAGCUCCUUAUUCAAUUUUUGUAAAUCUGUUCUCUGAGCUUAUUGCCAUAUGUAGAAGGAAUUAUUUUUGAAUGUUGACAAAUGAUUCCUGUGAA